UUCCGGUUGAUCCCGCCGGACCCUACUGCUAUCGGAGUGGGACUAAAACAUGCGAGUCGAGCGUCUCCAAGCCAUGGAGGAGGCGCGGCAUACGGCUCAGUAACACGUGGCCAACCUAACCUCGGGACAGAGACAACCCCGGGAAACUGGGGCUAAUCCCUGAUAGACGAGAACUCCUGGAACGGAUUCUCGUCCAAAAGGCGCCUAAACCACGCUUUAAGCGCCGCCCAAGGAUGGGGCCGCGUCCGAUCAGGUAGUUGGUGAGGCAAAGGCUCACCAAGCCAAUAACCGGUACGGGCCGUGGGAGCGGGAGCCCGGAGAUGGGCACUGAGACAAGGGCCCAGGCCCUACGGGGCGCAGCAGUUGCGAAAACUCCGCAAUGCACGAAAGUGUGACGGGGCUACCCCGAGUGCCGUCCGCUGAGGACGGCUUUUCCCUAGUGUAAGGAGCUGGGGGAAUAAGGAGAGGGCAAGUCUGGUGUCAGCCGCCGCGGUAAUACCAGCUCUCCUAGUGGUAGGGACAAUUAUUGGGCUUAAAGCGUCCGUAGCCAGCCCCUCAAGUCUCUCGUUAAAUCCAACGAUUCAAUCGCUGGACUGCGGGAGAUACUGUAGGGCUAGGGGGCGGGAGAAGCCGACGGUAUUCUUGGGGUAGGGGUAAAAUCCUAUAAUCCCGGGAAGACCACCAGUGGCGUAGGCGGUCGGCUAGCACGCGCCCGACGGUGAGGGACGAAAGCUGGGGGAGCGAACCGGAUUAGAUACCCGGGUAGUCCCAGCCGUAAACGAUGCGGGCUAGGUGUUGGAGCGGCUACGAGCCGCUUCAGUGCCGCAGGGAAGCCAUUAAGCCCGCCGCCUGGGGAGUACGGCCGCAAGGCUGAAACUUAAAGGAAUUGGCGGGGGAGCACCACAAGGGGUGAAGCUUGCGGUUUAAUUGGAGUCAACGCCGGGAAGGGCGAAU
rnacentral:rRNA from 1 species